AUUGCGAGUUGUUAGUGGGAUGUUAAAUUUGAAAUUUUGCGAUGUUUUGAUAGGAAUGUAUAUAGCGACCGAACUUAUGCGAUGAAUCAUCGAGUAAAGCAAAAGAUUAUUAAACCAACGUUGGGUAAAUUGACUUUCAUUACCAAACCUUUUUGUCAAAGCCAUUACGAAAAAUUAAUUAUAUGAACUUAUAAAACUAUUCAAUGUUAUACAAAUACAAUAACAAUACAAAAAGGUUUAGUUACAGUUAGAGAUAACAGAAAAGUUUGAAUAUGUUGAGAUGGCAACAAAGUAAUCAUGGAAAGAUAACGCUAUAAAGCAAACGUUAUAAAGCAACUUAAUUAUUAUUUAAAACCUUGUUUUAACUAUCAUUGCUAAUAAAAUAAAAUUUUGAUGUGUUAUUUUUAAAAGAUUAUUUCAAAACUGUUGAAUAACUAUUAAAAAAAAUCUUUUGUUAGAAAUUUUAUUUUUAUGAAACAAACAUUUGAUUAGGAGCCGGCGAAGUUUGUUUACAUUCAUUUUUUGAAGUUAAACUAAGUCCAGUAGCGAAUAUUAGUUAACAUUGACUAGUAUCAUUCUCUAAGCAAAUAGUACCACUACACCAACUAUUAUACAAUACCAACUAAUCGUUAAGCGAACAGUACUAUUCGUUGAGCAUGCUCAAACGUUUGUUCAGCAUGGUCUUUGCUGAUUGGAUUCCACAUAAUUGUACAAAAGAAAUGCCUUGAGAGAACUUACUUGCAGCAAAAGACACAAAAUCAGCAGAAAAAGUAGUUGCUUUGUGGUAGCUAACAAGUUUCCUUCACCCCAUGGUACUGUGCAUCUUAGUCAAGGUAUCUUCUAGUUACUCCAGGGUCAUCAAGACAAAGUGAACUUUUUCCAGCAGCUACAUCCACCUUGACUACUCAACAACUUCUACAAGUUCAAAUCCAAAAUGGACUUUCAAACAGAGCGAUUAACAAGCUUGAUUCAACACUUAACCAUAUCGCUCCUCAGGGAAUAGUUGAAAAAAACUUGAUUCUCUUGGAAAGCAUCUUUCUGACUUGGUUGUCAUAUCAGAAACUUUAAACAUAUCCUAAAGUUGUAGCCAAGAAUCCAAAUGUCUAUUGGUAUUCUGAAAAGACGGUGAAGCUCUAAAAAGCACCUUAGUUUAGAUCAGAGGUCCUCUAUCAAAUAAACUUAUUAAUAAAUUGAUGGAGAAGGGGGAUUUCUGAAAAGUGUCUUAGCGUUCUUGAUAAAAAAAAAAAUCAACUGUUUCUUCCCCAACUAGGAAACUUUUCUUCAAGGACUCAGGAGUGAAGCAUCAACUUCUGGUGAUUAUCGCAAAAAACCUUUCUAAAAAUUAUGACAAUAUAAAGCAAAUCAUAAACUUAUUGAACUAUGUAAAAAUUUGCUUUUGUAUUAUCAUGUGACAUAAAGCUUGCAAACAUUAUUUGUGAUUUGAAGUCUCCCUGAAGUGCUCACCCUUGUACCUGGUGUGACAUUAAGUCAAAGAUGUGAAUCUUUAUCAAAGUCACGUGGUGUGAUUGCAGUGGAAAAAUGUGUCUGCAGUGGAAAAAUGCACUAGAGUGACCAAAAAUUACGAACAUUCAACAACAACCUUUUCACGGAGGCAAUUCGCAGACAAUGAGAGCAGAAAGCAUUUACGAAAUGUUGAUUUGCUUCAAUAACUUGCGGAAAAGCAUGCUUGAUUUUUAGCAUUUCGAUUUAUUUACACAUUUAGAAAGUUUGAUUCAGUUGUUUAUGCUUCCUUUGAAAAUGUUCUUCAAGACAACUAUUACACCGUUAUAUAAAAAUUUCUACCUUCUAAACACGGGUGUCACUUUCAAAGCGCAUGCUGUCUUUUUCAAGUGAUACAAUUUUUUGGUUGCCACAACUUACUGGGCAUCUAUUCAGAGUAAGCAACAGAAUUACUCCAUCAUGGCUUCAACCAUCACUGGCAAUGGUUCAAAAGGCAAUAAUCACCACUGGCAACAGUUCAAAAGGCAGUUUCGUUAAUCAUCCGGACCCAAAUAAUCUUCUAAACUGUUUUAUUGAUUUUUUAAGCUUUUAACUCUUUUCUAGAGAAUACUGUAUUAUAACAUAUAAUAUGUGAGAAAUUACCUUUCAACAAUUUUUUAGAACAAUAUUUAAUUAGUGUAAUUCUUUUUUUUUAAGCUGCUUGAUCUGUCAAGCUAGAGUCUGAUUUUUUUUA
rnacentral:lncRNA from 1 species